AUGUGUAAGCGAAGCAUAUUGUGGAGCGGCGAAAGGCUCAGUAACGGGCGAUUUAUUUAUUCUUCUGUGACGGACAACACCGGGAAACUGGUGGGAAAACGUCUAUACUGCAGGAGUAAAAUUCUGUGGUAGAAAGAGUUAUCUGUGGAAAGUAAGAUGCCUCCUAUCAGUUAGUAAGUAGGGUAAGGGCCUACUUAACAAACGGGUACGGGGAAUGAGGUUUGAUUCCGGAAGGGACCUGAGAAUGCUACGGACAAGGUGACAGCGCGAAAACGAUCCUUUGGGGGCUCUUCCCUUCACCCACUGACUCGCUGCCUCCGUCGGUGCUCUACGUUAUCAUCUCACUCUGGCGGUUAUGUUAUCACAGAAUAGGUAUAAUUCAGAUUAAUGUGAUAGCCAUUUAAGCCAGAACGUAGCCGGUUGUUGUUUUUUUCUAUGUUCCCCUGACUAUUUUUCCUCAGUCGA
rnacentral:rRNA from 1 species